rnacentral:piRNA from 1 species
UGAGUCUUUCUCCCCAUGUGGACAAGGCC